AUUGAACGCUGGCGGCAGGCCUAACACAUGCAAGUCGAGCGGAUGAAGGGAGCUUGCUCCUGGAUUCAGCGGCGGACGGGUGAGUAAUGCCUAGGAAUCUGCCUGGUAGUGGGGGAUAACGUCCGGAAACGGGCGCUAAUACCGCAUACGUCCUGAGGGAGAAAGUGGGGGAUCUUCGGACCUCACGCCAUCAGAUGAGCCUAGGUCGGAUUAGCUAGUUGGUGGGGUAACGGCCUACCAAGGCGACGAUCCGUAACUGGUCUGAGAGGAUGAUCAGUCACACUGGAACUGAGACACGGUCCAGACACCUACGGGAGGCAGCAGUGGGGAAUAUUGGACAAUGGGCGAAAGCCUGAUCCAGCCAUGCCGCGUGUGUGAAGAAGGUCUUCGGAUUGUAGAGCACUUUAAGUUGGGAGGAAGGGCAGUAAGUUAAUACCUUGCUGUUUUGACGGUACCAACAGAAGAAGCACCGGCUAACUUCGUG
rnacentral:rRNA from 1 species